rnacentral:rRNA from 1 species
GUGCCAGCCGCCGCGGUAAUACGGAAGGUCCACGCGUUAAUCGGAACUACUGGGCGUAAAGCGCGCGUAGGUGGUUUUUUAAGUUGGAUGUGAAAGCCCUGGGCUCAACCUAGGAACUGCAUCCAAAACUAGAUGACUAGAGUACGAAAGAGGGAAGUAGAAUUCACAGUGUAGCGGUGGAAUGCGUAGAUAUUGUGAAGAAUACCAAUGGCGAAGGCAGCUUCCUGGUUCUGUACUGACACUAAGGUGCGAAAGCGUGGGUAGCGAACAGGAUUGGAUACCCUGGUAGUCCACGCCGUAAACGAUGACAACUAGCUGUUGGGAGACAAGAUCUCUCAGUGGCGCAGCUAACGCUUUAAGUUGUCCGCCUGGGGAGUACGGCCGCAAGGCUAAAACUCAAAUAAAUUGACGG